rnacentral:rRNA from 1 species
UACGUAGGUGGCAAGCGUUGUCCGGAAUUAUUGGGCGUAAAGCGCACGUAGGCGGCUUGGCAAGUCGGAUGUGAAAUCCCUCGGCUCAACCAAGGAAGUGCAUCCGAAACUGCUGAGCUUGAGUACUUAAGAGGAUCGCGGAAUUCCCGGUGUAGAGGUGAAAUUCGUAGAUAUCGGGAGGAACACCAGUGGCGAAGGCGGCGAUCUGGGAAGAUACUGACGCUGAGGUGCGAAAGCGUGGGGAGCAAACAGG